GCAUUGUCCCGCCCACCACCUCCGUGGUUUCCUCCUUCAUUUCCGUUGAGACUUGAGCGCUGAGCUGCUAACUGAACGUUAAAGAUUCACGGAAGAAGAGAGUGAACAAACCAGGAGGUUGGAGGCGGCGCCAUUUUGUGCUGCUGUGCKGUCCUCUGGUGAGACCGAAAUUAUCCGGUCGCCUCUGGAGCUCAAAGCGRUACAGACACAGGAGGUUAACCACCAACCUCCCACUGACUGCGUCUGAAUGUCAACAGCAACUUCUAUAACCUCAAGAAUCUGCCAUCAGAGCAUUCAGACGUUCCUGUGAUCAGAAACUGGUCCUGAUCGACAGCUCUUCAGAUAUUGUGAAGAUAUCGGCUGUUUCUUUGGGGUUUGGCUGCUUGUUUGAGGCUCUGGAACAUCAUGCAGUGUGUGCAGCACAGCGCCCCCAGUGGUGAGAACUCCUCCACUGGCCUGCAGAACCUCAUUGUGGACUCCGAAGGCUCCAUUCAUCAUUUGAGCUGAGUCAUCUCAGAGAAACUGGCAAUAAUGGAUAAAUAAUCGCGCUGCAUUCACACACGGUGACGUGGCUGCACCCUGUCCGAGCUGGGGGGCAUUCAGAGGUCAAACCUGUGUGGAAAGGAGAGCUACCAGUCGUUUUCAACUCGCUGCAGGAAAUGACCUGCCGUUUAAAGACGGUGACAAUCUACAGAUGAUUCCAAACUCAUCUCUCAAUAUUUUUACAAAAACAAGGCGUUGUGUCGCUCCACUAUCAGCUGAUCGGAGCUUCCUUGUCGUCUCUGCUUGAACUUUAAAUCCGAAUGACGUUAUCUGUUCAGUUCGAAACGGGAGCACUGAAUCCGACUCUGCGUGCAAACUGCAGGAAGCUUCCUCACUGCUUAUCAAAUGUUAAACAUCUGCGGAUCUGAUGCGAUGCCAAGUUCACCUCUUCCUCAUGAUGAAUCUGCUUAGUAUUUAGUAUUCAGACAGAUGACUCUACCCAACUCAUGGUAACUGUCACUCUACAAUCUGCACCGUUAGCUCAUUAGUGAAAGAAAUACUUCCACGAGAAUAU